rnacentral:lncRNA from 1 species
GGAUGAUGUGAGUAGGAUGGAUGGAUGAUGCAGGAUGGAUGUUCAUGAGUCCAGCUUGGCAAGCACUGCAGCUUUCCUAUGUGAGCAAGACUCGAGCCGAUCAUGCUUCUGGUGUGCUCUAUGUUUCUAUCUCUGGUGUCAGAAGAGGGAACUGAAGGAGAUCCCCUGGUGGCCCCCUGAAGUGCUCCGUCAAUCUGUGCAAAUGUGUGUUUUGUGGAGUUAUCUUACUCCAGACAAGAUGUUCUUGGCUGAACUUCAGGACAUCCUGAUUCUGUUUACAGACGACUUCUGUAACCAAAAGUACUCAAGGGACAACACCUCCAUUCAUGAACUCAGCAACUGCAUUAGGCCAUACCAGGCUGGCACUUCAGUUGCAGUAGUCAACAUCACUGGUGUCAAGGUAAUAAAAUUAUCUGCCAAAUUGCUGUUAAACCCAUCAGUUUACUGA